UAGUAAUUCUUAGUUUCCAUUUUGAAGCAACAUUAAUAAUCUGGCUCUCUUACGCAUCUGUCCAGGUAUGAGCUUCAGCUGGAGGGCAUAUUGAAUCUGCCAGAAUUUUUCGGCCAGAGCCAGCCUCAAGCUGAUGGAGGACCAAGGAACCAGUCAUCCCACCCGUCCACAUCGUGUGCAGGGUUCCGAGAAGCCGACAAAACAGCAACAGCCCUUCCUUCAAAACAUGUUGGGAGUGAGGGUCACCGUGGAAAAACGUUCCUUCCGUGUGCUCUCAGUGUUCCAGGAGGGGAUCGGUCAUCUGGGCAAUUAAAGAGCUGUUUUUUCCAUGAGUGUAUCUAUAGAUUUGGUGAACUUGCUGUAGAAAUGUUUGCUGCGUGUCCUCUCCGUUAGCCUCAGCAGAUAAUUAGCUUCGCAGGGAGGAGCCAAAUCUGCCGCACGGCACUGCCGGCCACGAGCGGUGUCGAGAAAACAUGAUGGUUUUGUGGGGGAUGAUGCAAUAGUUGUGUUCAAUGGUUGUACUGCUCUGAAUUAACACCGAGUGGACACUACUGAGGAACAAAAUCAGACAGUGGGUCGAAGAAGUCAGUACCCUCCGAACCGUCUUUCUGGCCUGGUUUUUUGUUUUGCUUUCAAGCUGGUUUGUAAAGAAACCCCCAGUGCUCCUUGUCUCCCUCCACAUCGAAUCAAAGUUCCUGAACAUUGAGAAGCAGCGUGGCCUAGUGGAUAGAGACCGGACCUAAGAGUCAGAAGGACCUGGGUUCUAGUCCUGCCACUGCCACUUGGCUGCUGUGUGACCUUGGGCCAGUCGCUUUACUUCUCUGUGCCUCGGUUACUUCAUCUGUAAAAUGGGGAUUAAGACUGUGAGCCCCAUGUGGGACAGGAAGUGUGUACAGUACAGUGUCUGACUCAUAGUCAGCACUUCGCAAAUACCACACGUAUUAAAAAAAGUCUGUUCACCAGCUCUCUCACCUUUCAACGUUGUGGCCUUCUUGACUUGCUGUUCCUCAGCCCAUGCUCCACCAUCCUCAAGGUGCUCAACAAAUACCAUCAUUAUUAUUAUUAACAAAACUCGGUACAAACCCUGAACUGAUUUCAUCUAAGGGGUAGUGGCUUUCACUGUUUAGCCUGGUGAAAGGUUGCAGAAAGAGACAUUUGGGAGGUAAAUAAGAGAAAUGAAACAAAAUGGUCCCUUCUUCCAUUUGCACCUGCCAAGAUCGAACAAGGUGUAAAAACACCCAAUAGGACGGAAGGGUUCACUCACUGAUCCCUUUCCGUGGGUGAAAGCGAAGCGACUGGACUGCAAUAUUUGACUUCGGC
rnacentral:lncRNA from 1 species